rnacentral:rRNA from 1 species
AACGAACGCUGGCGGCAGGCUUAACACAUGCAAGUCGAACGCCCCGCAAGGGGAGUGGCAGACGGGUGAGUAACGCGUGGGAAUCUACCCAUCUCUACGGAAUAACUCAGGGAAACUUGUGCUAAUACCGUAUACGCCCUACGGGGGAAAGAUUUAUCGGAGAUGGAUGAGCCCGCGUUGGAUUAGCUAGUUGGUGGGGUAAAGGCCUACCAAGGCGACGAUCCAUAGCUGGUCUGAGAGGAUGAUCAGCCACCUUGGGACUGAGACACGGCCCAAACUCCUACGGGAGGCAGCAGUGGGGAAUAUUGGACAAUGGGCGCAAGCCGGAUCCAGCCAUGCCGCGUGAGUGAUGAAGGUCUUAGGAUUGUAAAGCUCUUUCACCGGUGAAGAUAAUGACGGUAACCGGAGAAGAAGCCCCGGCUAACUUCGUGCCAGCAGCCGCGGUAA